rnacentral:rRNA from 1 species
UACAGAGGUCUCAAGCGUUUGUUCGGAUUCAUUGGGCGUAAAGGGUGCGUAGGCGGCGCGGUAAGUCGGGUGUGAAAUCUCGGAGCUUAACUCCGAAACUGCAUUCGAUACUGCCGUGCUUGAGGACUUGGAGAGGAGACUGGAAUUUACGGUGUAGCGGUGAAAUGCGUAGAUAUCGUAAGGAAGACCAGUGGCGAAGGCGGGUCUCUGGACAGUUCCUGACGCUGAGGCACGAAGGUCAGGGGAGCAAACGGG